GCUGGGCAUGGAGGCAUACAUCUGUAAUUCUUAGGAGAGGCAGAUGCUGAUGGAUUGCUUGAGCUUGGGAUUGUUGAACUAUAGUAGGGCUAAAGAUGAUUGGGCAUCCACACUAAGUUCAACACCAAUAGAGUAAGAAUCCAGGAAUGGAGGUCACUAGAUUGCUUAAGAAGAGAAAAACUGACCCAAAUCAAAAUCUGAGCAAGUCAAAGCUUCUGUGAUGAUCAGCGGUGGGAUUCGGCCAUGAGUGAAUACUGAACUUCCAGCCCGGGCAAAAUAUGGAGACCCAGUAUAAA
rnacentral:SRP_RNA from 1 species